UGUGAGACGAUGGGAGACUAAUUUAGC
rnacentral:piRNA from 1 species